rnacentral:rRNA from 1 species
GAACGCUGGCGGCGUGCUUAACACAUGCAAGUCGAACGAUGAAGCCCAGCUUGCUGGGUGGAUUAGUGGCGAACGGGUGAGUAACACGUGGGUGAUCUGCCCUGCACUUCGGGAUAAGCCUGGGAAACUGGGUCUAAUACCGGAUAGGACCUCGGGAUGCAUGUUCCGGGGUGGAAAGGUUUUCCGGUGCAGGAUGGGCCCGCGGCCUAUCAGCUUGUUGGUGGGGUAACGGCCCACCAAGGCGACGACGGGUAGCCGGCCUGAGAGGGCGACCGGCCACACUGGGACUGAGACACGGCCCAGACUCCUACGGGAGGCAGCAGUGGGGAAUAUUGCACAAUGGGCGCAAGCCUGAUGCAGCGACGCCGCGUGAGGGAUGACGGCCUUCGGGUUGUAAACCUCUUUCAGUACCGACGAAGCGCGAGUGACGGUAGGUACAGAAGAAGCACCGGCCAACUACGUGCCAGCAGCCGCGGUAAUACGUAGGGUGCGAGCGUUGUCCGGAAUUACUGGGCGUAAAGAGCUCGUAGGCGGUUUGUCGCGUCGUCUGUGAAAACCCGCAGCUCAACUGCGGGCUUGCAGGCGAUACCGGGCAGACUUGA